UGGCGCACGGGUGAGUAACGCGUAACUGACCUACCCCGAAGUCUGGAAUAACUGGCCGAAAGGUCAGCUAAUACCGGAUACCCACAUGACUUUUGAGUCAUGUGGAAAGAUUUAUUGCUUUGGGAUGGGGUUACGUUCCAUCAGCUUGUUGGUAGGGUAAAGGCCUACCAAGGCGACGACGGAUAGCCGGCCUGAGAGGGUGGCCGGCCACAGGGGCACUGAGACACGGGCCCC
rnacentral:rRNA from 1 species